GGGUUGUGAGGUUAAGCGACUAAGCGUACACGGUGGAUGCCCUGGCAGUCAGAGGCGAUGAAGGACGUGCUAAUCUGCGAUAAGCGUCGGUAAGGUGAUAUGAACCGUUAUAACCGGCGAUUUCCGAAUGGGGAAACCCAGUGUGAUUCGUCACACUAUCAUUAACUGAAUCCAUAGGUUAAUGAGGCGAACCGGGGGAACUGAAACAUCUAAGUACCCCGAGGAAAAGAAAUCAACCGAGAUUCCCCCAGUAGCGGCGAGCGAACGGGGAGCAGCCCAGAGCCUGAAUCAGUGUGUGUGUUAGUGGAAGCGUCUGGAAAGGCGCGCGAUACAGGGUGACAGCCCCGUACACAAAAAUGCACAUGCUGUGAGCUCGAUGAGUAGGGCGGGACACGUGGUAUCCUGUCUGAAUAUGGGGGGACCAUCCUCCAAGGCUAAAUACUCCUGACUGACCGAUAGUGAACCAGUACCGUGAGGGAAAGGCGAAAAGAACCCCGGCGAGGGGAGUGAAAAAGAACCUGAAACCGUGUACGUACAAGCAGUGGGAGCCUCUUUAUGGGGUGACUGCGUACCUUUUGUAUAAUGGGUCAGCGACUUAUAUUCUGUAGCAAGGUUAACCGAAUAGGGGAGCCGAAGGGAAACCGAGUCUUAACUGGGCGUUAAGUUGCAGGGUAUAGACCCGAAACCCGGUGAUCUAGCCAUGGGCAGGUUGAAGGUUGGGUAACACUAACUGGAGGACCGAACCGACUAAUGUUGAAAAAUUAGCGGAUGACUUGUGGCUGGGGGUGAAAGGCCAAUCAAACCGGGAGAUAGCUGGUUCUCCCCGAAAGCUAUUUAGGUAGCGCCUCGUGAAUUCAUCUCCGGGGGUAGAGCACUGUUUCGGCAAGGGGGUCAUCCCGACUUACCAACCCGAUGCAAACUGCGAAUACCGGAGAAUGUUAUCACGGGAGACACACGGCGGGUGCUAACGUCCGUCGUGAAGAGGGAAACAACCCAGACCGCCAGCUAAGGUCCCAAAGUCAUGGUUAAGUGGGAAACGAUGUGGGAAGGCCCAGACAGCCAGGAUGUUGGCUUAGAAGCAGCCAUCAUUUAAAGAAAGCGUAAUAGCUCACUGGUCGAGUCGGCCUGCGCGGAAGAUGUAACGGGGCUAAACCAUGCACCGAAGCUGCGGCAGCGACGCUUAUGCGUUGUUGGGUAGGGGAGCGUUCUGUAAGCCUGUGAAGGUGUGCUGUGAGGCAUGCUGGAGGUAUCAGAAGUGCGAAUGCUGACAUAAGUAACGAUAAAGCGGGUGAAAAGCCCGCUCGCCGGAAGACCAAGGGUUCCUGUCCAACGUUAAUCGGGGCAGGGUGAGUCGACCCCUAAGGCGAGGCCGAAAGGCGUAGUCGAUGGGAAACAGGUUAAUAUUCCUGUACUUGGUGUUACUGCGAAGGGGGGACGGAGAAGGCUAUGUUGGCCGGGCGACGGUUGUCCCGGUUUAAGCGUGUAGGCUGGUUUUCCAGGCAAAUCCGGAAAAUCAAGGCUGAGGCGUGAUGACGAGGCACUACGGUGCUGAAGCAACAAAUGCCCUGCUUCCAGGAAAAGCCUCUAAGCAUCAGGUAACAUCAAAUCGUACCCCAAACCGACACAGGUGGUCAGGUAGAGAAUACCAAGGCGCUUGAGAGAACUCGGGUGAAGGAACUAGGCAAAAUGGUGCCGUAACUUCGGGAGAAGGCACGCUGAUAUGUAGGUGAAGUCCCUCGCGGAUGGAGCUGAAAUCAGUCGAAGAUACCAGCUGGCUGCAACUGUUUAUUAAAAACACAGCACUGUGCAAACACGAAAGUGGACGUAUACGGUGUGACGCCUGCCCGGUGCCGGAAGGUUAAUUGAUGGGGUCAGCGCAAGCGAAGCUCUUGAUCGAAGCCCCGGUAAACGGCGGCCGUAACUAUAACGGUCCUAAGGUAGCGAAAUUCCUUGUCGGGUAAGUUCCGACCUGCACGAAUGGCGUAAUGAUGGCCAGGCUGUCUCCACCCGAGACUCAGUGAAAUUGAACUCGCUGUGAAGAUGCAGUGUACCCGCGGCAAGACGGAAAGACCCCGUGAACCUUUACUAUAGCUUGACACUGAACAUUGAGCCUUGAUGUGUAGGAUAGGUGGGAGGCUUAGAAGUGUGGACGCCAGUCUGCAUGGAGCCGACCUUGAAAUACCACCCUUUAAUGUUUGAUGUUCUAACGUUGACCCGUAAUCCGGGUUGCGGACAGUGUCUGGUGGGUAGUUUGACUGGGGCGGUCUCCUCCUAAAGAGUAACGGAGGAGCACGAAGGUUGGCUAAUCCUGGUCGGACAUCAGGAGGUUAGUGCAAUGGCAUAAGCCAGCUUGACUGCGAGCGUGACGGCGCGAGCAGGUGCGAAAGCAGGUCAUAGUGAUCCGGUGGUUCUGAAUGGAAGGGCCAUCGCUCAACGGAUAAAAGGUACUCCGGGGAUAACAGGCUGAUACCGCCCAAGAGUUCAUAUCGACGGCGGUGUUUGGCACCUCGAUGUCGGCUCAUCACAUCCUGGGGCUGAAGUAGGUCCCAAGGGUAUGGCUGUUCGCCAUUUAAAGUGGUACGCGAGCUGGGUUUAGAACGUCGUGAGACAGUUCGGUCCCUAUCUGCCGUGGGCGCUGGAGAACUGAGGGGGGCUGCUCCUAGUACGAGAGGACCGGAGUGGACGCAUCACUGGUGUUCGGGUUGUCAUGCCAAUGGCACUGCCCGGUAGCUAAAUGCGGAAGAGAUAAGUGCUGAAAGCAUCUAAGCACGAAACUUGCCCCGAGAUGAGUUCUCCCUGACUCCUUGAGAGUCCUGAAGGAACGUUGAAGACGACGACGUUGAUAGGCCGGGUGUGUAAGCGCAGCGAUGCGUUGAGCUAACCGGUACUAAUGAACCGUGAGGCUUAACCUUACAACGCCGAAGCUGUU
rnacentral:rRNA from 2 species